rnacentral:rRNA from 1 species
CCUACGGGAGGCAGCAGUGGGGAAUAUUGCACAAUGGGCGCAAGCCUGAUGCAGCCAUGCCGCGUGAAUGAAGAAGGCCUUCGGAUUGUAAAGUUCUUUCGUCGGGGAGGAAGGUGUUGAGGUUAAUAACCUCGGCACUUGACGUUACCCGCACAAGAAGCACCGGCUAACUCCGUGGCAGCAGCCGCGGUAAUU